GCCGUGAAAGCCCUCGAUUCUUUGUCUAUCGGUAGACGGCCUACGCACGGGAACGACGGGCAUUUUUUCAACUACUUGGUAGUCCCUCUUUACCUCGCCCUCUUAAGUUGACGUCUAUGCGCCUUCGCGAGAAUGACGAAUUCAAA
rnacentral:antisense_RNA from 1 species